UGUGUAUCUUUAUUCUUUCCCCAUUUGACAGCUCUUGUUAUAAGUUAUAUCAGAUCUUAAACAAAGGAAGCAGAUCACAAAAACAUGCAUUAUUAAUGAAACUAAGAUCAUGAGCUCAUGAAGUCAACUUCACUCACAGCACAUAAAAGCAAACACUUCCCUUAGCUUCUGUUUGAGAAAAUCCAGAGACUACAUUGCAAACUGCAAACCCUUCUCUCAUCCAUCACCUUUCUUUCUUCGUUCUGAUCCAAUCUGAUCUGCUGCUGCAGUUGAGAUUCAAUCAUGGCUGCAAAACUUGAUGGUGGAGCUUAUCUCACUUCUUUUGUUGAUGCUAUUUUAGACAAGUUGUCUUCAAUACUUGAAGAUGACUCUGUCCUCGACUCUGUCCUGGAAUUGCUUGAAAGGUUGCAGAAUAGUCUUUAUGAUGCUGGACCUGUUCUUGAUGAUGCUGAGCAGAAGCAGUUCACUGACAAGAGAGUCAAGAAGUGGCUUGUUGAUCUCCAAGAUGCUCUCUAUUUUGCUGAUGACUUGCUCGAUGAACUCUCCACUAAGGCCGCCAUCGCGGCCACUCAAGGUGAUCCAGGUAACUCUUCUUCCUGGUCUCGUCAUGUUGAUUCAUAUAUUGAUGAUAGUGGUGUCAACGUCAUCGAAAAAAUAGUUGGCAAACUAGAGUCUCUUGUAAAAAGAAAAGCUAAACUGGGUCUAGAAAAGAGUGCCAAGUUGGACACAUCAUGGAGAAUUCCAUCCACAUCUCUCGUUGUAAGUUCUGACAUAUUCGGUCGGGACAAAGAGAAGAGAGAGAUAAUCAAAUUGUUGCUAGAUGAUUCUGAAUCACCUCUUACUCUGAUCCCAAUUUGGGGUAUGGGUGGAAUAGGAAAAACUGCUCUGGCUCAACUGGUUUACAGUGAUGCUGAAGUAGUGGGAAAAUUUGACACUAGAGCAUGGGUGUGUGUUGCUGAAAAUUUUAAUCCUAUUAGCCUUACAAGAACUAUACUAGAGAAAAUAACUUGUAGUUCUUAUAAGAGGGAUGAUUUUGAUUCACUUCAAACUCAUCUGAAACAAAAGUUGAUAGGAAAAACAUUCUUAGUUGUUUUAGAUGAUGUCUGGCAUGAUCAACAAGACAUUUGGGAGGAUCUUCUAAAACCUUUUCGCUACGGUAAUCAUGGAAGUAAAAUUCUUUUGACAACCCGUAGUGAAAAGGUUGCUUCUGUGGUUGCAACUACCGAUCUACAUUACCAACUGAGUUUGUUGUCUAAUGAAGAUUGCUGGUUAGUAUUUUCAAAACACGCACGUCUUUCUGCUGACUCUAUGAAGAAUCCAACUCUGCAAAAAGUCGGCAAAGAUAUUGUAAAGAAGUGUGAUGGAUUGCCCUUGGCAGCUCAAGCACUCGGAGGCUUAUUGCGUGGAAAUUAUGAAGUCAAGUCUUGGAAUCAUAUAUUGAAGAACGAGAUCUGGAAAUCCUCCAAUGACAAGAUAAAAAUUGUUCCAGCCUUGAGAGUUAGUUAUUAUUAUCUUCCUUCUUGUCUAAAAAAGUGUUUUGUUUAUUGUUCCAUAUAUCCCAAGAGUUAUGAAUUUGAUAAAGAUGAAUUGAUCUUGUUAUGGAUGGCGGAGAAUCUCUUACAACCAAUAGGAGAAAAGAGUCUAGAAGAAGUUGGUGACGAAUAUUUUGAUGAAUUAUUUGUGAGGUCAUUUUUCCAACCUCAUAGUACUAAUGAAAAGACAUUUGUGAUGCAUGAUCUUGUGCAUGAUUUGGCAAUGAUCUAUGCUGGAGAAUUCUGUUUUAGAGCAGAAGAGCAUGAAAAUGCUGUUGAGAUUGAUAUUAAAGCUCGUCAUUUAUCACAUAAUGCUAAAGGCAAUUAUCCAAUCUCAAAACUUGUAGGAGUUUGUGAUAGAGUAGAACAUACAAGAACAUUUCUUGAAAUCAAUUUGUCACCAAAUAUCCCAUUUGACAUGGAAAACACACCUUGUAUCUUGUUGUCAAAAUUGAAGCGCCUUAGAGCUUUGUCGUUCAAAUGCUUUCCUCUUGAGUCAGUGCCUGAUUCAAUAGGUGAGUUGAUUCAUUUGCGUUACUUGGAUCUCUCUGGAACCUACAUUGUGACAUUGCCCGAGUCUUUGGGUAAUCUUUACAAUUUGCAGACCUUGAAGCUGAUUGGAUGUGAAAAAUUGAAAAUGCUUCCGGAUGGCAUGCAAAAUCUUGUAAAUUUAAGGCAUCUUGAUAUUAGAGCAACUUGUUUGCGCAAGAUGCCGAAAGGCAUGAGCAAAUUGAAAAGUUUGCAGUUUCUAAGCGACUUUGUCAUUGGGAAGCAUGAAGAGAACAAGAUCAAAGAACUGGGAGCACUUGCAAAUCUGCGCGAAUCAAUUUCCAUUGACAAAUUGGAGAAUGUGGUCGACAGCAGUGAAGCUUGGGAGGCAAGAAUGUUCGAUAAGGAUGGCAUUGACUCUUUGAAGUUGAGUUGGUGGUCACAUAAAAGUAUGGAAGAAGUUUUUGCUUUUGCUGUCAAAAAGAAGGAUGCAGCUGAUUCCCAAAUUGAAAGAGAUAUACUUGACAAGUUACAACCUCACAGUAAUUUGAAAGAAGUAGAGAUCAGUGGCUACAGAGGCACAACAUUUCCAGAUUGGUUGGAAAAUUCUUCCUACCACAACAUCACCACACUAACCCUGCAACAUUGCAAUAAAUGUUCUGUGCUUCCUUCAUUUGGACAAUUGCCCUCUUUAAAGCACCUUACAAUUUCAGAUUUUAAAAGUCUGAAAACUGUGGGUGCUGAGUUUUACAAGGGUGGAUCUUGUUUGGAGACACCCUUUCCAGUGCUUGAAACUCUUACAUUUUGCUCAAUUAGUGACUGGGUGAAGUGGGAUUCAAUGGAGUUCAAUGCAUUCCCUCGACUUGCGGAGCUUACCUUAAGUGACUGUCCCAUGUUGACAGGAGAUUUGCCCUAUCAUCUACCAUCUUUGCAAUCACUUACUAUUGACAAUUCCAAGGAUCUUCGCUGUUGUCUUCCAAUAGCUCCUGCAAUGGCCUCUUUAAACAUAGUUGGUGGCGGAGAAGUGAGUAUUAGCGAGCUACCUCCUUUACUGCGUAAACUAUCAAUUCAUGGAAUUGAUCAAGUGGAGCCAGUGGUUAAGGCCUUUCGGAAUAUGCAACUGACUUGCCUCACGUCUUUAUGCAUCUCAGAUUGCUCCUUCCACAUAUCAUUUCCAGUGAGUAGUAUUCCUGCAUCACUACAAGAGUUGACAAUAUCGGGUUGCGCAAAAUUAGAACUCGAAAUGGAUGGGCAUCACAAGUCCCUGCAGUCACUGAGUAUAAUUUACUACUAUGAUUCAGCUACAUCCUUCUCUUGGGAUGCCUUUCCGAAUCUCGUGCGUCUCAACAUCAGGAAGUGUAAAGAGAUGGAGUCUAUUGUGGUGUCACGGUCUCUUUCAUGUCUCCGUUCUUUACAUAUAUCCAGUUGUCAGAGUUUGAAGUCAGUGUCGACGCUGUGGAUGGCAGCACCUCAGCUAGAGGAUCUCAAAAUAGUGGAUUGCCCAGAGAUCGAAUUGUGUCCUACAGGGGAUGGGCAUCCACACCAUAGCCUCAGAUCUCUUACCAUCAACUACUCCAAACUAAUCAGUUGUGCAGCAUUCAUGAAUUUGCAAUUUUAUGGGCUUACUCAUCUUCGCAUUUUGGGUGAAUAUAAGGAGAGUGUGAAGUGCCUCCCAAAGGAAGGCUGGUUGCCUGCCUCACUUGAGUCUCUCAGACUUUUUAACAUUAAAAGUGUGGAGACGUUGGAAUGCAAGGGACUUGCCCACCUCAACUGCCUCCAACAAUUAAGUAUAUAUCAUUGCUCCAAGUUGAAGAAUAUUGAGGGAGAAAAGCUGCCUGCCUCUCUAAAACAACUCAUCAUCAAAGGGACUCCUUUGCUGGGUAAACGGUGCGAGAAGAAGGAUCCUGAGGUUUGGCCUAAAAUCUCCCAUAUCCACGGCAUUCAAGUUGAUAACAGAUGGAUUUUGUAAUCCAACAACUUCAACAGCUUAUCCAUGGAGCUAACGUCACAACUUCUGCAGCUAUGGUUUUUCUUUUUCUGCAUGAAAUAUACUCAAUCAUUGCAAUACGCAGAGGGGAAUGCUGAGAAGUAAGACAACAAAUUUCCUGACAAGAUUCAAGGUCCCUGCCAAGAUAGAAACUUUCACACACAAUGGACUUCUCACUAUCACUGCAUUCAUAAAGCUAUUGAGCAAACAAGGGAGAGCCACAAUCAUGGACACAAUCCAAGAUAUUCAAGAGAGGCAUGAGAGUGAUUAAGAAAAGGAGCCCAAAUGAGCUUCAUCAAGUGUUGUUGGACAUGCCUGUUUCGGUCCAAUCACAAGGUGAUCAACUAGAUCACAUAGAAAGCCACGUGGCCAGAGCCAAUUCGUACAUCUGCUGCAGGGUCAAUCAGCUCCAGCUUGAGGAAGUGCCAAAGGAAUACCAGGAACAGACCUCAUUGCCAUCAUAAUAUUGACCAUUAUCAUAUUGAUAUAGUCCUUCUUAUUGGUAAAAUAAAAUUUACCUUUAGAAUUUCGAUUCAUGUGUAUGUUACUCUUAAUUUUUUUUUCUAAACCAUUUGAUAAGAAAUUUCAGACACACGAACUAAAGUUUAGCAGAUAAAUUCAUUUUUGCUUUAGUUAUUGGGGUUUAUACAUAGCACACUCUUAAAUACACGUAUUAUUGGGGUAAAUUCAUCAUUUGCCACUCUAAUCCCUUGGCCAUUAUUC